rnacentral:piRNA from 1 species
UGAAGGUUCAGUGUCCUAGUUCC